rnacentral:tRNA from 1 species
CGGGGCGUUGCCUAGUGGCUAAGGCGCUUGCUUUGGGAGCAAGAAAUCGGAGGUUCGAGUCCUCUCGCCCCGACUA